rnacentral:rRNA from 1 species
AAAAUCAGUCUAUGUCAUACUUCCAAGAAAAGCUUGCACUGUCAUAAACAAAUAAUGCCUGUACCAUAACCGACACAGGUGGGUAGGUAGAGUAUACUAAGGGGCGCGAGAUAACUCUCUCUAAGGAACUCGGCAAAAUGACUCUGUAACUUCGGGAGAAGGAGUGCCUUAUUUUAUAAGGUUGCAAUAACAAGAUCCAAGCAACUGUUUACCAAAAACACAGGUCUCCGCUAAGUCGUAAGACGAUGUAUGGGGGCUGACGCCUGCCCAGUGCCAGAAGGUUAAAGAAGUUGGUUAGCAUCCGCGAAGCUGAUAACUGAAGCCCUGGUGAACGGCGGCCGUAACAAUAACGGUCCUAAGGUAGCGAAAUUCCUUGUCGGGUAAGUUCCGACCCGCACGAAAGGCGUAAUGAUUUGGAUACUGUCUCAGAGAGGGGCUCGGUGAAAUAGACUUGUCUGUGAAGAUGCGGACUACCUGCACCAGGACAGAAAGACCCUAUGAAGCUUUACUGUAACUUGAAAUUGAAAUUGGACUUUACUUGCGCAGUAUAGGUGGGAGGCGUUGAGAAUAUUCUUGCGGGAAUGUUGGAGCCAUCAGUGAGAUACCACUCUUGUAAUGUUAGAUUUCUAACUUUGUAUCAUUAUCUGGUCAAAGGACAGUUUCAGGCGGGCAGUUUGACUGGGGCGGUCGCCUCCCAAACGGUAACGGAGGCGCACAAAGGUUUCCUCUGAACGGGUAGAAAUCGUAUCUAGAGUGUAAAGGCAUAAGGAAGCUUGACUGUGAGACCUACAAGUCGAGCAGGGACGAAAGUCGGUCUUAGUGAUCUGACGGUGCUGAGUGGAAAGGCCGUCACUCAACGGAUAAAAGUUACUCUAGGAUAACAGGCUGAUCUCCCCCAAGAGUUCACAUCGACGGGGAGGUUUGGCACCUCGAUGUCGGCUCAUCGCAUCCUGGGGCGGUAGUACGUCCCAAGGGUUGGGCUGUUCGCCCAUGAAAGCGGUACGCGAGCUGGGUUCAGAACGUCGUGAGACAGUUCGGUCCAUAUCCGGUGUAGGCGUUAGAAUAUUGAGAGGAGCCUUCUUUAGUACGAGAGGACCGAGAAGGACAUACCUCUGGUGUACCAGUUAUCGUGCCAACGGUAAACGCUGGGUAGCUAUGUAUGGAGUGGAUAACCGCUGAAAGCAUCUAAGUGGGAAGCCCACCUCAAGAUAAG